UACAGAGGUCUCAAGCGUUGUUCGGAUUCAUUGGGCGUAAAGGGCGUGUAGGCGGCGCCGUAAGUCGGGUGUGAAAUUUCGGAGCUUAACUCCGAAACUGCAUUCGAUACUGCGGUGCUUGAGGACUGGAGAGGAGACUGGAAUUCAUGGUGUAGCAGUGAAAUGCGUAGAGAUCAUGAGGAAGACCAGUGGCGAAGGCGGGUCUCUGGACAGUACCUGACACUGAGGAACGAAGGCCAGGGGAGCAAACGGG
rnacentral:rRNA from 1 species